rnacentral:rRNA from 1 species
UACGUAGGGUGCGAGCGUUAAUCGGAAUUACUGGGCGUAAAGCGUGCGUAGGCGGUUCGUUAAGUCAGCUGUGAAAGCCCCGGGCUUAACCUGGGAACUGCAUUGGUGACUGCAUUGCUGGAGUAUGGCAGAGGGGGGUGGAAUUCCACGUGUAGCAGUGAAAUGCGUAGAGAUGUGGAGGAACACCGAUGGCGAAGGCAGCCCCCUGGGCCAAUACUGACGCUCAUGCACGAAAGCGUGGGGAGCAAACAGG